AACGAACGCUGGCGGCAUGCCUAACACAUGCAAGUCGAACGAGACCUUCGGGUCUAGUGGCGCACGGGUGCGUAACGCGUGGGAACCUGCCUUUAGGUUCGGAAUAACUCAGAGAAAUUUGAGCUAAUACCGGAUAAUGUCUUCGGACCAAAGAUUUAUCGCCUUUAGAUGGGCCCGCGUUGGAUUAGCUAGUUGGUGGGGUAAAGGCCUACCAAGGGGACGAGCCAUAGCUGGUCUGAGAGGAUGAUCAGCCACACUGGGACUGAGACACGGCCCCGACUCCUACGGGAGGAAGCAGUGGGGAAUAUUGGACAACGGGCGAAAGCCUGCUCCAGCAAUGCCGCGGGAGUGAUGAAGGCCUUAGGGUUGUAAAGCUCUUUUACCCGAGAGGAUAAUGACAGUAUCGGGAGAAUAAGCUCCGGCUAACUCCGUGCCAGCCGCCGCCGUAA
rnacentral:rRNA from 1 species